rnacentral:pre_miRNA from 1 species
ACAUUUACAAGCGAGCCUUAAUUAGAAUUCAAUUAAGGCACGCGGUAAGUGGGU